rnacentral:lncRNA from 1 species
AUGGGAUCGACUCAAUUUUGGUUCGACAAUUGGACUAAGUUGGGAGCCUUAUAUUUUCAAGUGCCUGCAGAGUUGGGAGCCUUAUAUGUAAAUGAUCUGGUUGAAAAUGGUAUGUGGAAUGUGGAUAAAAUAUUUGAGAGCCUACCUGAAGAUUUGGCAAACCACAUUAUGCAGAAUAUCAGACCACCAACUAAAAGUUUACAGUUAGAUACUCCUUUCUGUAUGCUUGAAACAAGAGGACAUUUUACAGUAAAGUCUGCAUGGGAUUACAUGCGAAGAAGAGCCAACCCAAGAUUAGCUUACAAGAUGAUAUGGGUAAAAGGUUUACCUUUCAAGAUAUCCUUCUUCAUGUGGAAGGUGUGGAAAGCCAAACUGCCACUUGAUGAUUUCUUGCGUAAACUAGGAUACUCCAUGCCAUCAAAAUGUUGGUGAUGUGCUAAUCCUAAGGAGAAGUCAUUACUACAUUUGUUCUUCACAUCCAAUAUAGCUAGAAGUGUUUGGACCUACUUCCUGAGGAGAGCAGGAAUUGCAUUAGAUAGGUUGUCAUUACAUCAAGCAAUUACAAAGUGUUGGACAACAUCAGUAGUUCCUAGAUUGAAGCCAGUAUUACAAGCUUUACCUGCAUGCAUUGUAUGGGAACUUUGGAAGAGAAGAAAUAGCUUGAAAUAUGGAGAAGCAGUGUCAGUGAGCAGAGUUAUUUACUAUGUGUCAUCUACUAUGCAAGCUCUGAUCCAACUGAAAAAGCCUGGACUACAUGUGCCUCACAAGUGGCUAGACUUACUGACAAUGAUGGAGCAAUACACACCUCGAUUGAAAUAUGAUAAAGUAUUAUGGGAAUUUCCUUCAAGAGGGAGGAUCAAAGUGAAUACGGAUGGAGCAUGUAGAGGGAACCCAAGGAGGAGUUCAAUUGGUUUCUGCAUAAGGGAUGAGGUAGGUGAUUUGAUAUAUGCAGAAGGAAGGGAGAUUUCUGAAGGAACCAACAAUGUAUCAGAAGCAGUAGCUAUUGCGGAGGCAUUGAAGAUGUGCAAAAGAUUUAAUUAUUUCUAGAUAUGGCUGCAGACAAAUUCUAUGCUACUAAAGAACAUUAUAGAGGAAUCAUAAAAGCCUCCUUAGUAUAUUACUGAACAUGUAGAGGAGAUUUUAAGAUUUAAGGAACAAAGUAUCAUCAAUGUCACACACAUAUUCAGAGAAGGGAAUACAUUAGCAGACCACCUUGCCUAUUAUGCUCUAGAUGAAGGAAAUACCGAAUGCCAUGAUUUUUGGGAUAUGGACUCUAAAGGAAGGAGGAUUAAUAACGAAGAUAAGAAGCUAUGUCCUUACAUAAGAGUGAAGGUUGCAAGGAAUUAGGAGGAAAAGAGGACUCAUUUUGUUAUCAAACUAGAACCAUUCUUGAGGAGAGUUGGAUAGCAAUUUUUACGCUAACUCUGUUUAUCUUUUUUGCAGGUAUUUCAUCAAUGCUAAAGCCUAAUCUUAUAGUAGAAUCUCAAGUGGUGGUAUUAGUGCAGUGCAUUCAAUCCAUUGGGAGGACAUUAAACAUGGGCUUUGGCACGUUAACAAUUU